rnacentral:lncRNA from 1 species
CAAAAGGGUCUUUGUCUUCAUCAAAUGGGGCUUUAGACUGAAAUGGUUGGAGAACUUAAAAAAAUAAGCUCUUGAAUCACUGUCCUCCCAAGGAUGAAUUACAUCCUAACUCUUGGUGAUUUCAAUGUCCACAUAGAUGACCCUUCCAUACUCUGGUCGCCAUUCUGUGAGCUUCUAUCCUCCACCCUUCUCAGCCACUGACUCCUCUGAUUUCAACUAGAUUUUUCCAUUAAAACCUGCAUCCUACCCCAUUACUCCCACUGUCCUGCUAUGCCACCUCCUAUCUUUUCCUCUGAGUUCGAGUUUCCUUCAACCCCACCAAUCCUACAACCUGUCGCUCCUACCAGGCAUCUCAACAAGUCCAAACUAAUCUUUCAAUGUUAUCAUACAAAACUUAAUCUCCCCCAAUUUUCCCCCAUCUAGUAAAUGGCAGCUUCAUUUUUUUAGUUGCCCAAAACCUUUCAGUUUAUCUUUGACUUUUCUCUCCACCCUAUUUCUAACCCAUCAGGAAAUCCUUUCAAAAUCUAUUCGGAAUUUGACCCCUCUCACUCCUUUCACUGAACCACCUGGACAAAACUUCCACCAUCACUCACCUGCACUAUCAAAAAAUAAUUUUCCUCAAUGCCCUCCCUGCUUCUAACCUUACCCUUUCCAGUCUACUGUAAUUCUUUUAAAAUCUUAGAUCAUGUCCCUUCUCUGCUCAAAACCUUGUCGACGUCUUCCCACCUAUAUUAGCAGAAUGCUGGCUCCAUAAGAGAGAAACCCCCAU